rnacentral:lncRNA from 1 species
AGUUUCUGAGCUAAUAUCCACUUAUCAGUGAGUACAUAUCAUGUGAGUUCUUUUGUGAUUGGGUUACCUCACUCCAAGGACAGUAUCUUCUGAGAAAUCCUCUGCUAGCCUUAUUUGUAAAGGUAACUUUUAUUCACCUGAUAUAAUUUUCAUCUUGGAGGCUUACUGCUAAAUAAACUCACCUUUCGAGUUCUUUCUAAACUCUGGCUGGCUGGUUGAACUCAGCUGUUGUGGCUCAAACUCCUCUCCAAGCUGACAAAUUCAAACUGGCUUCUCUCAGCUUCUAACUGAAUUGCUCUUCUUAGAAAAACUGCCUCUGAAUUCCACAAACUGAAUUGCACUGACUAGGAACUGAACAGAACUGCUGGAACUCAACUGAACUCAACUGAAUUCCACUGAACUCAACUGAUCUCCACUGCAUUGCUUGAACUCAACCAAACUGAACUUACUGCACCACCGUCCACCUGACUCACUCUGCCUGUCCUUAGGUUCACUAGUGAAUAUUCACUGCAAUGAGUUUCUGGUCUGAUCUGAGAUCUCUGGCUUCUGGGACACCAUCAAUAUUGACUCCUCACCUGGAAUCCACAUGGUAAUCCUGUUGCUGCCUUGUGUCAUGGAGAUCCUGCAGCUUUGGGUCAGCAUGACUGACCCUUUCACGCUGAUCCAAGAGUUCACAGUUGAUGCAGAUUUUGGAGUGGGUCAACUCAAAGCCCUGGAUCUGGGCCUGGGGGUAGCUGAGAUGCUCAGCCAGCUGGCUUUCUUUUAUCUGAAUCACCAGGGAAGUGCCCAUGAAGACGAGAAAGGGACGUAGAACUCCUGGAUCUGGAGUGUCAGAUGGUUGUGAGCUGCCAUUUGAAUGCUGGGAACAAAACACAGGUCCUCUGCAAGAACAGCAAGUGCUGUUACACACUGAGCCAUCUCUCCAGCCCCUGGCCGACUUCAAUUUUUUUAUUUGCUUACAUUAAUCUGUGCCUGAUUGGUUUUUGGUUGUUUUGUUUGUUUUGUUUUGUUUUGUUUUGUUUUGUUUGUUUUAAAGCCUAUCAACUGUGUUCACUCAUGUAAACAAAGCUCCUAGUCAGACCCAUCCCGCCCUUCUACCCCCACUGUCCUCAGCAGAACAUUCUUUAGUCUUCAGUUUACCAGCAUAACAGACUAACCCUCACAGUGAGCUGCCGCUUCACAGGCCUUUCCAGGCCAUGCUUGUGGGAUUCUCAAAGCCUAAAGGCAAGCUCUUCCACAAGGGACUUCUAGCCGGAAAGGGCACUGGCUCUCUGAGGAUUUGAAUAUGGCCCCACCCACUUCAGUCCUUAGAAUGGAUCUACGAGAUGAUUCCACCACUCUGCAUUCAACUCCAGAGACCACUGGUGAUGCAGCAGACCAUCCUUAGAAUGACUGACACUGUCACUUCUCACCCUUCUCAAGCGUGACUCCCAAGCAACCCCAGCAGCAAGUCUACCAGCAAACGUAUGCAUCAGGGCCUGGUCCCAGGACAUCCCAUCUAGAAUAUGGGAAAAACCUUGCUGUACAGUGAGCUGAAACCAGGAGCCUGUGUGAUGUACCCACAGUAACACAACUCCCAAGGGCACCACUGACAGGAACUAUGACACCACACUACGGUUUCUCUCUCCACUUUUUGCUUUUGACAUGCAGCUCAAUCCGUGGGGACAGUCCUGCCAGCAAAUAACCCAUUGUUUUCAUGACAGAAACCUUUUUCCAUCCAAUGAUAUCUAGCCACAUACUUCUGUCCCAGGUAUCUUUCUCACAGAUUUUCUCCAAUCAUGCUCUUUCCAAGUCUCUGAGCAUCCAGCCAAUCAAUUGGAUGCAGCACAUGAAUCAGUAAACAAUUACACAUCUGGCCUUUUUUUUUUCUUUCAAGCAAAAUGUAUGACCAUGUGCACUGCCUGAAGUUCUGCCCAGUGUGAUGAUUUCCCUUCACCAGUGUCUUUCAGAGUUGUACCAGAGGUGGUUGCAACAGUACAGCUGUCCAAUUUUCAGUGAUACCUACAUAACUUACAGAACCAUCAGUACACCAGGGCCUAGAAUUCUUUUCCUCAGUCAACUGAUCAUAAGGCACAUCCAAUGAGGCAUGCUUUGGAGCAAAGAGCAUUGUAGCAGGAAUAGAAGCCACAGAAACUGCACCUUUCUGAACUAGAUGAUCACAUAAGAAUGACAGUCUGAUCUCUGACCAACCAGAGUGAAGCACAGGACCUUUGCAUUAUGGGUGGAAAGCAUAGCUGCCUUCCUGAAAACAUGGCUGACUUCCUGCAGGUGUGAUUGCCUGAUUUCUCACAGCUGGACACACUCUGCAAAUGUAAAAACUUUUGCUUUACUGGGAUACUUUGGAUUGUUUGGUCAUUUUCUUGGGAUGCCAGACCAAUUUAUAACAGGUACUUGCUACAUCCACUCCAGUAGUGACAAGCACAACAGGCACCAAAAACCUGGGCGCUGCCCCGAGGUGAAAAAUUCAUGGAAACAGCCUCCUGGAAUCGUGGCAUCCUGUAUAAAGAAUGCUCCAAUGUCCUUGC